rnacentral:rRNA from 1 species
AGAUUGAACGCUGGCGGCAUGCUUUACACAUGCAAGUCGAACGGCAGCACGGGGGCAACCCUGGUGGCGAGUGGCGAACGGGUGAGUAAUGCAUCGGAACGUAUCUUUAAGUGGGGGAUAACGCAUCGAAAGAUGCGCUAAUACCGCAUAAUCUCUGAGGAAGAAAAGCGAGGGAUCGCAAGACCUUGCGUCGUUUUGGAGCGGCGAUGUCUGAUUAGCGUAGUUGGGUAGGGGUAAACGGUACUUAACCGAAGGUCGUUCGAUACGAGUAGCUGGUUACUGGAGAGGACCGACAACGCCACACGUAGGAC